rnacentral:rRNA from 1 species
GGGACACGUGGUAUCCUGUCUGAAUAUGGGGGGACCAUCCUCCAAGGCUAAAUACUCCUGACUGACCGAUAGUGAACCAGUACCGUGAGGGAAAGGCGAAAAGAACCCCGGCGAGGGGAGUGAAAAAGAACCUGAAACCGUGUACGUACAAGCAGUGGGAGCCUCUUAAUGGGGUGACUGCGUACCUUUUGUAUAAUGGGUCAGCGACUUAUAUUCUGUAGCAAGGUUAACCGAAUAGGGGAGCCGAAGGGAAACCGAGUCUUAACUGGGCGUUAAGUUGCAGGGUAUAGACCCGAAACCCGGUGAUCUAGCCAUGGGCAGGUUGAAGGUUGGGUAACACUAACUGGAGGACCGAACCGACUAAUGUUGAAAAAUUAGCGGAUGACUUGUGGCUGGGGGUGAAAGGCCAAUCAAACCGGGAGAUAGCUGGUUCUCCCCGAAAGCUAUUUAGGUAGCGCCUCGUGAAUUCAUCUCCGGGGGUAGAGCACUGUUUCGGCAAGGGGGUCAUCCCGACUUACCAACCCGAUGCAAACUGCGAAUACCGGAGAAUGUUAUCACGGGAGACACACGGCGGGUGCUAACGUCCGUCGUGAAGAGGGAAACAACCCAGACCGCCAGCUAAGGUCCCAAA